CAAAAAAACUAAAACAUGUUGCGAAAAUACUGUUCAUUUAGACUCAUGUAACUGUGGAUUCAAGCAGUGUUUCUCACGAUAGUGAAGUCGUGUUUUCAAUUUCUCUUCUUUUCUAACUUUUCGCUGGUUGUAGCGUGAACUUACAAGCAAAGAUUUUUUCUCUUCUUUUCAAGUCUAGAAACACGUAUGGAUAAACACCACAAUUUUUCACCUUUUUCCCUUCCCCUCAAGGCAGAACAAUUUUUGCAUUUCUUUCUUCUCUUUUCUUAUUAGUAUAAGUUGUGUUUUUUUCCCAUGGAUCUACUUUUUUUGUUUGCGGUUCGCAAAGUUUUUAAGAGAUGAGUUUUUGAUUUUUGUCUGCUUUUUUUUAUUUUCAUUUGUUCAUGUUGAUGGGUUUUUCGAUUAUCUGUGUAGGUUUUUUGCAUCUACACACUCUUUCAUGUUUUAUCUUUCCAUACUUUUUCUCUCUUUUUUUGUCUGGUUUUGGUUGUUUAUUUGUUUCUUACUUGGAGAUACUGAUUUGUUUCCCUUUUUACUCUGUUACAGGUUGCUUUGACCUUCGAAGCCAUUGAUUCACCUAGCCUUAAGUGGGGAUCCAGGUUACGAAACCAAGGCGGUUGUAAGGAUAUGUCUUGCUGAUGGUAUUGACAUGUUCCUAGCAUUGUUGGUGAUGGACGGUUCUUGCAUGAUAGAUUAAUUGUAUGAGAAUUCAUUGGAACCCUUGUGAUGUUCAGGUGUUGAAACCCGGCUGGAAUCAUUAUCGCCACUACAUCAGCAGGUUUGUCCUUUCCUCGCACCGUCUUUCUCUCUCUUCUUCUUCUUAUUGGCAUAGGAUUCGGUUCCUAUAGAUAAAGAGCAUACAUGAAACAUGCCUUUGGUACAAAUACUAACAGAUAUGUAUAAAGUCAUGUUAGUCCCAUGAUGAUGACAGACUUGGCUUGCGCAAAAUUAACCACAUGUUUUGAACUAAAUUUUUAUUUUGUUAGUUUUAAAUGAAUACUUUAGUUGUUUGCUACUUUAAA